rnacentral:lncRNA from 1 species
CUUGAUUUCUUUGUUUAUUUUUAUUGUGACAACGGGUCCACCUAACAACUCAUUAGGACUGGUAAUGAGUCGUAUGCUGGACUCAUCACCACUGGGCUAAUAUUUAGGAUCCUUCACUCUAGUUGCAAUGACUCCACAUAAUAACUCGUUACGUCUAGUAACAGACUGUUGUUUGAGUCGUUGUCACUGGUAGUUUGACAGUCCCUUAGUCAACUUGUCAUAACUUUUUGCCACGAUAACGGACUAAU